GUGGCUAUGGUGAAGUGGUUAACACGGCGGAUUGUGGCUCCGUUACUCGAGGGUUCGAGUCCCUCUAGUCACCCCA
rnacentral:tRNA from 1 species